UACGUAGGGUGCGAGCGUUAAUCGGAAUCACUGGGCGUAAAGCGCGCGCAGGCGGCUAUCUACGUCCGGUGUGAAAGCCCAGAGCUCAACUCUGGGACUGCCUUGGAUACGGGAUCGCUUGAGGGUCGGAGAGGCAAGGGGAAUUCCACGUGUAGCGGUGAAAUGCGUAGAGAUGUGGAGGAACACCUGUGGCGAAGGCGCCUUGCUGGCCGAUUACUGACGCUGAGGCGCGAAAGCGUGGGGAGCAAACAGG
rnacentral:rRNA from 1 species